rnacentral:pre_miRNA from 14 species
GUUUAGGUUGAAAGACCCCCAAAGCAGGGAGACCCUCACUCAAGUCUCGGGAUGAUGCGACCCCUUCAAGAACUCACGAGAGACC